rnacentral:rRNA from 1 species
GAAGUUCAAUAUCAAAAACAUUGUCCUCUUCUCCUCUCCCUCAUCAAUGUAAGACUACCCGCUGAACUUAAGCAUAUCAAUAAGCGGAGGAAAAGAAACCAACAGGGAUUGCCUCAGUAACGGCGAGUGAAGCGGCAAAAGCUCAAAUUUGAAACCUUUCAGGAUUGUAAUUUGAAGAUGGCAUCAAAAAAAGGCUGAAAACUUAUGUUCCUUGGAACAGGACGUCACAGAGGGUGAGAAUCCCGUGCAGUUCAACGCCCUACCUUUCUUGCCAUCAAAGAGUCGAGUUGUUUGGGAAUGCAGCUCAAAGUGGGUGGUAAAUUCCAUCUAAAGCUAAAUACUGGCGAGAGACCGAUAGCGAACAAGUACCGUGAGGGAAAGAUGAAAAGCACUUUGAAAAGAGAGUGAAACAGUACGUGAAAUUGUUGAAAGGGAAGGGCAUGAAGAUAGAUUGUGAGGGUCGUGGGGAGUGGAGAAAAAAUCACGUGGGAACGUGGCCUUCGGGUGUUAUAUCCCACCACAUUUCUCCCACCCCCCACGAGGACCGCUUU